UACGUAGGGCGCAAGCGUUAUCCGGAAUUAUUGGGCGUAAAGAGCUCGUAGGCGGUUUGUCGCGUCUGCCGCGAAAGUCCGGGGCUCAACUCCGGAUCUGCGGUGGGUACGGGCAGACUAGAGUGAUGUAGGGGGAGACUGGAAUUCCUGGUGUAGCGGUGAAAUGCGCAGAUAUCAGGAGGAACACCGGUGCGAAGGCGGGUCUCUGGGCAGUAACUGACGUGAGGAGCGAAAGCGUGGGGGAGCAAACAGG
rnacentral:rRNA from 1 species